CUAAGCAUGGUCUCCAUGGUGCACAUAGUCUCCAGUAUAUAAAUGCACACUGAGAAAACAAAACGACUCUUAUAUGCGAAAAGUGCACGCUAUUAUUCCAUAAAGACGUAGCAUUAAUUUACUCAACCAUAUGGUUAAACAUCCUUUUAAAUGAAUCGACGUGUAUUAGGGCGUGUAACUAUAGCAGAUCAGAUAAUGACGCGGCGCGUGUUGCAUCAGCUCCUAAAAUGGUCACCGACUAUGCGCGAGAGCUACAUGAACAGAUGAAUAAAGGCAGCGCGCGAGCUACGUGAACAGAUGGAUAAAGGCAGCGCGCGACUUCCGUCCAGCAAAAAAAAAAAAAAAAACCUUUUAAGAACACAAAGACUACAACGACUGACUACUCGGAAGAAGAAUAAGAAAUAGAUGCUGAAAGCCGCGUGUACUCAGUGGGAGGUCAGUACACGGACCUCAAAGGAAACCACUUUCUGCGAAGUCUACAACUCCUUACCAACUGAAGAAGCGUCACCGGGAAGGUCCUAAAGCACGCCCAGAAUUCAUGUAUUCUUUGGUGGGGCGAGGCUCGUGCUAUGUUCGACUGAGGCCGGAAAUGGGAAGUGAAAACUCAAAUGUCCCAUUCAAUGGGUGCUUCUCAUUAGUUAUUUAUGAAUCCUCGUUUUCUUUCCUCACUUCCUUUUCUUGCGUCUUAGCGCCCCCUACUUGGGAUGUGAGAGAAGGAUGCAAGGAUGAGAUGUGAGGAGAGAGAAGUCGAAUGAAAUCAUAAACUUUCUAGAUAGCAAAAAGUUCUGUGCAGCGUUAUUUGUUGACCUUUCAAAGAUUUUGAUUCUGCCGAUCAUAAUCUACUGUUAUAGAAACUUAGGUCUAUAGGUUUUAGUGAAGCUCCUCUAAAAUGGUUUGAAAACUGUUUUUUUUAAGCACACUCAACGUAUGUGUUUAGAAAAUUAUACUUCACCUUUCCAUCAAGUAAAAAAAAAGGAGUUCCUCAAGGAUCUGUUUUAGCUCCCCCUUUGUUUUCUAUUUUCAUCAGUGAUUCAGGCUUCGGAGUGGAUUGCUCUAAUAUACAUCUGUAUGCCGAAGACACAACCAUUUAUACUUCAACGCCAUCUUUAAAUCAUGUUCUACUGAACUUACAGAAUGCAUUCAAUGUAAUACAAUAUUCUUCGUCACAGCUGAAAUUGAUUUUAAAUAAAAAAAAGACAAACUAUA